UUGUAAUUGUUUUGAUAUGAAAUACACAUAAAAAAUUCAACAUGAUACAACGAAGCCCCACAUGUCUGAGACCUAUCAUGCGCAUGUGGUUGGCUGCUUUGCUUCGUAUGUUUCUUUUCGUACUAAAUAAUGAGUUAUGAAGCUUGUUGAUGGAAGGGUUUCUUCCUUUCGUUUGAAUAAUGCUUGAUUGGGUGUGGCUAUGGGCAAAGAAGAUAAUAUUGAAGGAAAACAAGAAGAUCACCGGAAAUUCAGAGGCGUUUCCUCUAUUUAUAUGGUCGUAGCUCAGCCGGGAGUAGGGACCCCAAGAAAGGGUGAUGGGGCAGGCUCAUUCGGGAACAAUUAGGUCAGGGCCAGACAGGUCCUUAUAUUUUAAUAAUGACUUUUCAUUAAAAGGGGAGUUUUUUUUAACUUUUCGUUAGUUUUCCGUAUAUUUUUUGGUAUGAGAAUCGAUGAGUUUGUAAUUGUUGAAUUGUCGUGUUUUUAAGUAUGCGUGGUCUCUUUAAUUGUUUUAAAGAUCAUAUUUGACAA